rnacentral:lncRNA from 10 species
CGCACGCCACCACACCUAGCUAAUUUUUGUAUUUUUAGUAGAGAUGAGGUUUCACCAUGUUGGCCAGGAUGGUCUCAGUCUCUUGACCUUGUGAUCCACCCACCUCGGCCUCCCAAAGUGCUGGGAUUACAGGCAUGAGCCACCGUGCCCAGCCAACCUCCGCUCUAGUCUCUUACGGUGCUAAUCACAAGCUGCCUUUGUAUUAUGGUUAUCUGAGGUCAAGUCUCCUCUCCACUUCAGAAUAAAAGUUUCUAGGGGGCAGGGACAACAUUUUUCUGUUGCCAUCUGACAUGGUUUGGCUGUGUCCCCACCCAAAUCUCACUUUGAAUUGUAAUAAUGCCCACGUGUCAAGGGCAGGGCCAGGUGGAGAUAGUUGAAUCAUGGGGGUGGUUUCCCCCAUACUGUUCUCGUGAUAGUAAAUAAGUCUCACGAAGUCUGAUGGUUUUAGAAGUGGGAGUUCCCCUGCACAAGUUCUCUUGCCUGCCACCAUGUAAGAUGUCAUUUUGCUCCUCCUUUGCCUUCUGCCAUGAUUGUAAAGCCUCCCCAGCCAUGUGGAACUGUGACUCCAUUAAAUCUCUUUCCUUUAUGAAUUACCCAGUCUUGGGCAUCUCUUUAUUAGCAGUGUGAGAACAGACUGAUACACUAUUACUUACAACAGGCACAUAGAAAUGAACAGAUAUCUGAAGAAAGACAGGAAGAAUGAGGUAGGUAAGAGGGCGGAGGGUGUGGGUGGAAGAGACAUGCACAGAGGAACUGAGGACGCCGAGUCAGAAAGAUGAAGAGGUUCAGAGAUGGAAGAGAAAGCAGGCAAGAGAGCCCCCAGCAGAAUAUCCCCAGUGCAGAGAUGUAGGGAGAUUAAGAACAGAGCAUUAUGGGCUAAUUGUGCCCCCUCCUCCCCACCACCAAUUUCUGUGUUGAGAUCCUAACUCCCAGUACCUCAGAAUGGGACUGUAUUUGCAGAUAGCAUCUUAAAAUAGGUGAUUAAGUUAAAAUGAGACUAUUAGGGCGGGCUUUAAUCCGAUCUGACUGGUGUCCUUACAAGAAGAGGAAAUUUGGAUACACAGACAGACACAGGGAUGUGUGUGAACACAGAGAUAACCAUGUACAGACACAGCAUGAGGGUGGCCAUCUGCAAGCCAAAGAGAGAGGCCUCAGGAGAAACCAGACCUGCUGACACCUUGAUUUUGAACUUCUAGCCUCCAGAACUGUGAGAAAAUAAAUUUCUGUUUAAGCCACCCAGUGUGUGGCAUUUUGUUAUGGCAGCCUGAGCUGGCUAACACACGGGGGAAGGCCAAUUAGAAAAACAGAAGGAAGGCCCCAGAAAAUGCUCAUGAUUUCAAAUACUUUGCCUGUGAUUUCUCAAACAUUCUAGCUUUCUGAAGACCUUCAAGUCUUAGUCUCUUGGGAGAUGAAGGUAGCGGGGAGUUAAGGAUGGAUUCAGUUUCCAAGUCCUGGGAUACAAGUGUGUAGCUGCAGGCUUGCAUUUCUAACACCAUCCAGUCCUGAUGAUUCUGCUGAGUGCCAUCCUGUCCAGUUGCUCCACAGUGUUCCAGAAACAUUUCUUACAUGUCCACUCAAACUUAAUCACCUAAAUACCUGCCAUUUCUCAUGUACUUUUGAAGGGUUCUGUCUGCUUUGUAGUUUAAGGAAAGCAUUUGAUUUUUCUACCCUUGUAAAAACUGCAGUUGGGAGAAAUAAUUUUACUUUCGCUUCCAGGUUUAUUUUGUUUAACUAAAGCCAUUAGAAAUAGCUUCAGUUUUACAUUUUUCUUCAGUCUGCUUGCAAAGUGUGUUAACACGGUGGUUGAAUUUCAAUGGUUUGGAUUGCUUUGAAUGACUUCUGUGUUUUCAUUCCCAAUUCCUCACAUAUUGGUUGCUAUCUAGGUGACCAGAUGAAAGAGUUAAUUUUUUUUUAUUGAUGUGUAAUAGAUGUACAUAUUUUUGGGAUGCAUGUGACAAUUUGAUACCCUCAAAUAAUCAAAUAAAAAUCUUAAUUAUUAAGAAAGUAUUUUCACUAAGUAAAGGCUUAAAUGUGCAUAUCAAAGUUGAAAACCUGAUGUCCCCGUAGCUACAAGUUCAACUUGUAUACCAAGAGACCCAGCAGCCAGAUUUUUCUCUUUGCAGAAAGUGACUUAAGACCUCACAAAGUGAAGUCCCUGGGACACAUGCCAUGGCCCUGGGGAGCACAGCCUCUAUUAGGCCAGGAAAUAAAACCACCAGGAAGGGUCUAGCAGAGUUGCACUACCCUGGAGCCUGUCUUGUGGCAAACGAUGCCAUAGGAAGUUUUCACUUAACUAAUAUAAUUUUGAGAGGCUCAUACUAGAUUUCCAGACUCAUUAUAUUUUCCUAACCAUCUGAUAGAGCCAGGUGCUGUUUUUAUUAUCAUCAUCCCCAUUGUACGUGAAAAGAAACAGGACAAGAGAGGUUGUCUAAAGCUGCCUUCUAUGUCAGUUUUCCUUUGUGACUGUUGCUUGCCAACCAACAGUUUGCUGGUGGGGUCACUGGUGGGCAGGAGCUGGGUUCUUUCACUCCUUUAUAUCCCCUCUUGGCACCUUGUAAUAUUAGGAACAGCAUCAUGGGCUAUGAUUCUCAAUGAUAUUUGCAAUUUAACAAGAUGCCCUCCUGUGCCUGCUGGAGAUGCUCCCCUAUGGCGAAACCAGGGACCUCUUGUGUGCUGGUACUGGUAGGAUCACAUGUUGUGCUCCAGCUGCCAAGGAAGGCUCUUUCCUGCAGUUGAUGUGCAGAAAACAGCAGUUAGGAUUGACCUCUAAGAGGAGGGUGACUCUUGAGAGAUGAGAAUCAAGAACCAAAAGAUUCUUCCCCCCUUACUGGUUUUGGAGUAUCUGGGGCUCGAUUUUAUUGAAGAAACCAAGCCUUUAUACGAACAUACAUCAAAUUAACAGGAAAGCCUCUGACUUUUUGCUGCAGAAAGACUUCUGCCUUAAGUAUUCAUUCUGAAUUGGGACUGUUCCCUGGCCAGGCUGUCCCCUUGUCAACUUGGAAGCUGACCUCUCCUGCCUUACAGAGAAUCAAGGGACAGAGUUCCAGUCCUCUGGCUUGGGACUGACACUGCCCACCCGGGUUACAGCCCCACUCCCAGCAGCCUUCGCACCUGCAGUGCCAUGAUUUAAUGAGGGCUGUCAGGGAUUAUCGAGUUGUGAACUCUUUUGCAUCCGCCAGGCUCUCAUGAAUGAGGCAUUUUGUUCAGCUCCUUCUCACUUCGUGUUUCUUGGAGCUAGCACAGAGAGAAAAGGCAGCAAGUGAGCAGCUAUUUUGGGCCAGGGUCUUAUAUUUGAAUAUUACAUGAUGAAAUAGUGCACCUAUCAAGUCUGUUGUUUUUGUAGCUUUUCUCUGCGUCUUCCUCCCACCUCAACUCACCCCAUGCCACCCACCCUGGCCUUCUGAGCCCUGAGGCGCCCUUGCUGAUGGGCCAGCUAGGUAAUUCUGCAGUUGGUGAAUCACAGAUCAGUAACUGAGACAGAAAAUACUUGCUGUUGCAAAUCCCCUGAUGAAUGGUCACCGGAAGCUGGGCCUGCAAAAGAGGGGCUGUAGGCCAACAUUUGAGCUCCCUGAGCUGGGCAGAUUUAGAGACCGACUCACACUGAAUCCUUCUUGAUCCAAGUUAAUUUUCUGAGGGAAAUCCAAGGGGGAAUGGUCUUAUGAUUUAGUAGUGUUUUGAGGCUCAAAAAACAUUUGUCAAUAAAAGAAAAAGAAAAUGGUGGCUUGAAUAUUCAGUUGCUUUCAGUGGACAACGUUUUGGUCACUAGGAGGCAGAAACAUCCACUGUGAGCGAGGGUCUCCUUUCCAGGAAGAUGGUGGCAGAGCAACUGGGCCAGCCUUUGGCCUGCAGCCGGGACUAUCUUUAUAUAACACAGCAAUAAAUGCUAUUUAAACAACAAUUAUAAACAAGUAUUCUUUGACUCUUCUAGCUCUCACUUCAAAGAAAACCAAAGCCAUUGGAUGCCACUGGAGAAAAGAAUACUGUGAUCAUUUUCAUUCUUCCCAAACACCCUCCUUCCAGCAGCCUGGAAAAGCCUUGAGUGGGACUUUACAGGUCACAGGAUUCUUCUCAUAUAUUCCAGGCAGUGGCUGUGGGCUACUAGGAACAUCCGUCUGACCCUUGGAAAGCCUGAAGGAGGUGCCUCCUUGCUCUCCAGCUUGGGCCUUGGCACUCGACUCUGUAGUCAGGGUCCCGGGUGUCCAGGAUAAGGUGUCCUAAGGAGGACCCCAGCCAGCAGCUGGAUGAAAAGCUUUUCUCACCAUGAAUGAGUCACAUCAUCUUAACAAAAGAUGAAACUUUGUUUCAGAGUCCUAGGCCAAGGGGAAGCUGAAGAAUCAGAGGCCAGGUCUAGUGUGCCACAGGGAGUAGCCUGAGAAGUGGGAGAAGAAUGGUAGUAAUGGUAAAUAUGAAUUGAGCACUCCCUAAGGACAAGCACUGUGCUCAGCACUUUAUAUGGAACAUUUUAUUUCCUCUUCACAACUUCCAUGUUAUAGAUGAAAAAAGUAAGGCUCAGAGAAGCUAAGUCCACGUCCAAGUUCAUGCAGCUAGCUGAAGUCAGGUCAGUUCCAGGAAAGAACCGAGCAUCACACCAAGUUCAGGUUCCUGCAACAUGCAGCCUCACUGCCUCAGUGGGACCCUCUUGCCUCCUGAAGUUGCCCCUCCCCGGGACCCACAGCUGGAGUCCAGCAUAGAGGGGCAGACACACAAGCCAACUUUGCAUGUGCCACACAGCAGAGAUGGUGAGAAGUGACUGGGUCCACGCUACUAAUAAGACCGAGGCCUGCGGAGGCGAAAGGAAAGCUUUGUCGCUUCAUGUGACUGCUUAGGGCAGAGCUGGGACCAGCCCAGCCCUCCCAAACAAAAGGGAGGCAGCCGCCUACUUCCCUAAGUCCUCAGCAUCCUUCGCCUGACUCAUGCUAACGAGCUUUGGGGCAGGGGCGGGAGGAAGAAAACUGACAAAACCAGUGAUCGAAAAAACCUGGAUUGGAACAUUUAGCUUCCUUCAAGACCAAGUAUAAACCGCACCUCUGCCUGCCAAGCCCUAAUCAUCAUCCCAUGGCAGAGUCCCUUCUUAGUCACUGUCUGCCCCUCCAGAGGGGCUUGUCAGACAAUUACAAGAAUUCAGCGAUAAUCUCUCCCUAUUUUACAUCUUUCACUUUUUAUUUCCCGGGUUUUCCUGAAUUUGCCCUCAUUAAGCAUCCCAGCCCAUGCUUCACUUAGCCCUGAGCCCAAGCCAGCCAAAAAGCCUUUCAGCAUAUGUUAGUGACUCCCUCUGCCUGAUUCUAUUACGCGGAUCAAAGUCCCCUAGCAGAGUCCUGGGACUUCCUGUCAGCGUCAGCAAGAUCAAACAGAAGAAAGACAAGGCCCUUAGAAGUGGGAGGAUGACUGGCUCCAUGAUAUUUGCAUGUUGGAGGCAUAGACGGAAGACCUAGUCCGAGAAGGGGCUGCUUGCCUGAGCAGAGGGUUCCACAUCCCAGGGGGUAUAACCCAGUGAUGGGUGCACCCUGAGGCCCCGGGAAAGCCAGGUCUGGUGUGAGUGUCAGAGUCCAUCAUAACCAGAUGACCGUCACAGCACCUAGAAUGAAAAGUAGAGCCUGCCAUCCAGAUGGGAGCCCCGUUUGAACCCUCAACCUCAGCCCUCUCCAUCCAGCCCCCACAGUGCACACACGUGCACACACACACACACAAACACACACACACACACUGGAUGAAGAGGGAAGACUUGGAAGUUCUUGGUGCGAAAGGAAUCCUUGGACAUGAGAACUAAGGAUGCUGCUUCUUUGAAACAUGGCUCCUACCGUUGUGAGUUCAGAACUUGGUUGGGCCAAGGAUGAUCAGAGCUAUGGGUUACAAAAGGCCAGUGAGCCCCGCUGGAUGUCUUUCCUCAGCAUCCCUGAGAACCACUCCUUCUGCUGGUGUCUUUCCAUAUCGGUCCCUUCUAUACCUGACCCUAGACUCCUGAAAGGUUGGCUCCUAGGCAAGAGGGCUCUAAUUUUCCCUCUUGGGUUCCACAUACCAUACUCUGACCUUGACCUUUUGUAAUUUCAGCAAGGUGUGUAUUUUACCCUCUGCAAAGGUGACUGUGACUGAGGAGUAAGCCCCAGACAGGUUUAGUAUUUAGGAUGUAGGGCUUUAUGUAAGGCUGGACACGCUGCUUUAACAGAGACCGCAGUCACACUGAAGCAUGGUUCUCUUCCCCGUGGCAGUCUGGAAAUGAGUGGUUCAGGCCAGGAGGGAAGCUCUGCUCCACAUAGUCGCUCGGCACCCAGGCCUCUUCCACCCUGUUACUCUGCCAUCCUCUUGAGAGUUGUCCUCAUCUGCAGGAUCAAAGCUGGGUCACCACCUUGUCAGCAUCUCUGUUCAUAGGGAGCAAGGUGGAGCAGAAAUGAAGGGCAAUCUACUUGCAUUUAAGCAAGCGAUGCAGAAGCUACAUAUCUCGGUUCUGCUCAUAUUCCGUCAGUGAGAACUGAGUCACAUGACUACCAACCCAGCUGCAAGAGAGGCUAGCUCUAUCUAUCUCUAUACCUACCUACCUAUAAUCUAUCUCUCUAUUUUCACUGAGAAUAUGGUGGAAAGUUUGUCAGGAAGAUAUCUUCAAGAUUAAAAUAUCAAGUAAACUGGCCAUUUUUUUUAUUCAGUCAACAAACAUUUAUCAAGUUCUUAACAUUAUCUAGGUGCUAUGCUAGGCACCAGACAGACGCAGAUGGGGGAAUGCAUGCCCCAUGACUGAGUAAUCUAGUCUGUGGUUUAUAAAUUUGCCAAUCCACCUUUACUCCCGGAAAGAGAGAGAGAGAGAGAAAGAGAGGGAGAAGGUGAACUUGUUUUUAAGCAGAUCACAAAGGAUGCUUCUUAGCCACCUCUGUGUAAUUGAAAGGUAUCCUCAGAUUCCAAGCCAACUAAAAAUUUGCCAUUGGAGCUCCUUAUCUUCUUAAUGAUCUGCACAACAACAACAAAUGCAAACAUAAAUUGAAAGCUUAUAUUGAUAUGAUUAUAACUGUAACACCUAAUUCUGAAUUUUCCAUUUGGGGACCAUCAAAACAGCAUUACUAUGCUCAUAUGUUGACUUUAUA